rnacentral:rRNA from 1 species
AUUGAAUGCUGGCGGCAUGCCUUACACAUGCAAGUCGAACGGUAACAGGGAGCUUGCUCCGCUGACGAGUGGCGAACGGGUGAGUAAUGCAUCGGAACGUACCCAGUAGUGGGGGAUAACGCAGCGAAAGCUGUGCUAAUACCGCAUACGCGCUGAGGUGGAAAGCAGGGGACCUUCGGGCCUUGUGCUAUUGGAGCGGCCGAUGUCAGAUUAGCUAGUUGGUGGGGUAAAAGCUCACCAAGGCGACGAUCUGUAGCUGGUCUGGGAGGAUGAUCAGCCACACUGGGACUGAGACACGGCCCAGACUCCUACGGGAGGCAGCAGUGGGGAAUUUUGGACAAUGGGGGCAACCCUGAUCCAGCCAUGCCGCGUGAGUGAAGAAGGCCUUCGGGUUGUAAAGCUCUUUCGGCCGGGAAGAAAUCGCCAUCUCUAACAUAGGUGGUGGAUGACGGUACCGGAAUAAGAAGCACCGGCUAACUACGUGCCAGCAGCCGCAGUAA